AAAGAAAGUAAGCAAGGGCGCAUGGCGGAUGCCUUGGCUCUCGGAGGCGAUGAAGGACGUGAUAAGCUGCGAUAAGCUUCGGGUAGGUGCAAAUAACCUUUGAUCCGAAGAUUUCCGAAUGGGACAACCCGGCAUUCUGAAGGAAUGUCAUCCAUCCUGGAUGGAAGCUAACGCAGGGAACUGAAACAUCUUAGUACCUGCAGGAAAAGAAAAUAAUAAUGAUUCCCCUAGUAGUGGCGAGCGAACGGGGAUUAGCCCAAACCAAUGUUGUUACGGCAAUAUUGGGGUUGUAGGACCACGAUGUCGCAAGAACUUUAGUGAGAAGAAUUCUUUGGAAAAUGAAACCAUAGACGGUGAUAGUCCGGUAUUCGAAGCUAAACGAAGCGUAGUGGUAUCCUGAGUAGCGCGGGACACGAGGAAUCUUGCGUGAAUCUGCCGGGACCAUCCGGUAAGGCUAAAUACUCCCGAGAGACCGAUAGCGAACCAGUACUGUGAAGGAAAGGUGAAAAGCACUUCGAAUAGAAGAGUGAAAUAGUCCCUGAAACCGUGCGCCUACAAGCGGUCGGAGCAGCGUAAGUUGUGACGGCGUGCCUUUUGCAUAAUGAACCUACGAGUUACUUUUUCCGGCAAGGUUAAGCAUUUCAAAAUGUGUAGCCGAAGCGAAAGCGAGUCUGAACAGGGCGAUUAGUCGGAAGGAGUAGACGCGAAACCAAGUGAUCUACCCUUGGUCAGGUUGAAGGUUAGGUAACACUAACUGGAGGACCGAACCGAUAAGCGUUGAAAAGCUUCCGGAUGAACUGAGGGUGGGGGUGAAAGGCUAAUCAAACUUGGAGAUAGCUCGUACUCCCCGAAAUGCAUUUAGGUGCAGCCUUGGGAAUUACUACUGUGAGGUAGAGCGACUGAUAAGAUGCGAGGGCUUCACCGCCUAUCAAGUCUUGAUAAACUCCGAAUGCGCAGUAGUUCGAUCCCAGGAGUGAGGGCAUGGGUGCUAAGGUCCAUGUCCUAAAGGAGAAGAAUCCGGACCAUCAGCUAAGGUCCCGAAAUAAUUGCUAAGUUGAACUAACGAAGUCAGAUUGCUAAGACAGCUAGGAUGUUGGCUUGGAAGCAGCCAUUCAUUUAAAGAGUGCGUAACAGCUCACUAGUCGAGGAGUUUGGCGUGGAUAAUAAUCGGGCAUCAAGCAAUUUACCGAAGCUAUGGGAU
rnacentral:rRNA from 1 species